ensembl:rRNA 5S_rRNA 5S ribosomal RNA
AUGUUUGGCCAUAUCACCCUGAACUUGCCCGAUCUCGUCUGAUCUCGGAAGCUAAGCAGGGUCGUGCCUGGUUAGUACUUGGGUGGGAGACUGCCUGGAAAUACUGGGUGCUGUAGGCU